UGGGGAAUAUUGGACAAUGGGCGAAAGCCUGAUCCAGCCAUGCCGCGUGUGUGAAGAAGGUCUUCGGAUUGUAAAGCACUUUAAGUUGGGAGGAAGGGCAUUUACCUAAUACGUAAGUGUUUUGACGUUACCGACAGAAUAAGCACCGGCUAACUCUGUGCCAGCAGCCGCGGUAAUACAGAGGGUGCAAGCGUUAAUCGGAAUUACUGGGCGUAAAGCGCGCGUAGGUGGUUUGUUAAGUUGGAUGUGAAAUCCCCGGGCUCAACCUGGGAACUGCAUUCAAAACUGACAAGCUAGAGUAUGGUAGAGGGUGGUGGAAUUUCCUGUGUAGCGGUGAAAUGCGUAGAUAUAGGAAGGAACACCAGUGGCGAAGGCGACCACCUGGACUGAUACUGACACUGAGGUGCGAAAAGCGUGGGGAGCAAAAGCAGGAUUUAGAUACCCUGGUAGUCCACGCCGUAAAACGAUGUCAACUAGCCGUUGGGAGCCUUGAGCUCUUAGUGGCGCAGCUAACGCAUUAAGUUGACCGCCUGGGGAGUA
rnacentral:rRNA from 1 species